ACCUUCUACCGCUACAUGGAAAGCACUGAACUCAAUAACCACACGCUGGAAAAUUUCCAAAGGAUGCUGACAGACAGACACCUUUCUCAGUGCCACGAGGACACGGCAUUCUUCCACGCGAAAUCAGGAUCCAAAGUUUCCUCAUCAGCUGCAGCACCGCGGCCAGUUCAGCUUCAGUGACGUAUUCGAUGUCACAAUUGGAUCACACUGGAUUGGUCAUAUGGAAAGA